GCCAGGGUAGCUCAGAUGGUUAGAGCGUGGGACUCAUAAGCCCGAGGUCGUGGGUUCAAUUCCCACCCCUGGUA
rnacentral:tRNA from 1 species